GACGAACGCUGGCGGCGUGCUUAACACAUGCAAGUCGAACGGAAAGGCCCUGCUUUUGUGGGGUUCUCGAGGGGCGAACGGGGGAGUAACACGUGAGUAUCCUGCCCUUGUCUUUGGGAUAACUUCAGGAAACGGGGGCUAAUAUAGGAUAGGAGCUCCUGCUGCAUGGUGGGGGUUGGAAAGUUUCGGCGGUUGGGGAUGGACUAGCGGCUAAUCAGCUUGUUGGUGGGGUAGUUGCUUACCAAGGCUUUGACGGGUAGCCGGCCUGAGAGGGUGACCGGGGACAAUACGACUGCGAGACGGACCAGACGCGUACAGGAGGCAGCGGUCGCGAAUAUUACCCAGUGAGCCGACGCCUGAUGCAGCGGCGCCGCGUGCGGGAAGACGGCCUUCUGGGUAAAAACAGCUUUCGACUGUGACGAAGCGUUAGUGACGGUAAUGAGUAAAGAAGCACCGGCUAACUACGUG
rnacentral:rRNA from 1 species